rnacentral:tRNA from 1 species
GUGUGGCUCAGUGGUAGAGUGUUUGCUUAGCGGGCAUAAGGUUCUGGGUUCAAUUCUCAGCAC